CAACGUUGCUAUACACACGACGUCCUAUGCACGAUUUACAGACGAUACUAAUAAUCAAGCCGUUGGUGUCAUCUAGCUCUCUGCAGGACACCGUUCGAUUGCACAUCGUGCAUGCAUCGUCCAUUCACCAGUCGAGAUCGGAAGAG